rnacentral:lncRNA from 1 species
ACGUGUUUCAGUCGCCAACUGCAACCUACAUCCACACGGACAACCAUACUCCAUACUCAACAAGAAAUUUUCUGGAGAUGUUUCAACAACUGGAAUACUGGUUCUCCUAACCCACUGUACCUCAGCUGAAGCACAACCCGUGCUCCCACUACCAUAAGUACCUCUGACUGGUCUACCUGAACCUUUCUAUGCUCGUUCAUCCUGAAUCUGACCUGUGACAAUAUGUUUCUCUCUUGUAAAGACAACCCUCUUCUGCCCACGAGAUUCUGUAAACCAGACUUUGUUUAUCUUCUGAAUUGAGACAGUCACUUCCUCAUACGGUAAUCCGAUAAUAUACAACGAACCUUUCUUUCUUCCGCGGG